GACGAACGCUGGCGGCGUGCUUAACACAUGCAAGUCGAACGGAACUGCCCUGCUUUUUUGGGGUGCGCGCGUGGCGAACGGGGGAGUUACCCGGGAGUAACCUUCCCUUGCCUUUCUGGUAAACUCCUGAAACGGGGGCUAAUAACGGAUAGGUGUUCCUGCGGCGUGGGGGGGGUUGGAGAGUGUCUGCGUUUGGGGGUGGUCUCGGGGGGUGUCAGCUUGUGGGUGGGGUAGUGGCUUACGAAGGCUUUGCCGGGUAGCCGGCCUGAGAGGGUGACCGGCCACAUUGGGACUGAGAUACGGCCCAGCCUCCUACGGGAGGCAGCAGUGGGGAAUAUUGCACAAUGGGGGGAAGCCUGAUGCAGCAACGCCGCGUGCGGGAUGAAGGCCUUCGGGUUGUAAACCGCUUUCGCCUGUGACGAAGCGUGUGUGACGGUAAUGGGUAAAGAAGCACCGGCUAACUACGUG
rnacentral:rRNA from 1 species